rnacentral:lncRNA from 1 species
AAAAAUGUUAAUAGUUUUGUUUUUUGUUUUUUAUUUUUUCAGUACUGGAGAUUUAACCUAAGGCCUCAUACAUGCGAGGCAAGCAUUAACCUGUUACUGAUUGUCUUAUGUUGAUUUUGUAUCCUGCAACUUUACUGAGUUUUAAAUUAGUUCCAGUGGUCAUUUAGUGGAGUGUUUAGGUUUUUGUAGAUAUAAAAUGAUGUCAUUAUACAAAUGGAAAGUUUGGCUUCUUGCCUUCCUAAUUGUAUGCUUUUGAUUUCUUUUUCUGGCCUCAUUGCUCCAGCUAAGACUUCAGUACAGUACUGUGUUGGGUAAGAGUGGUAAGAAUGGGCAUCCUUGUCUUGUUUCAGAUGUUAGAGGAAAGCACCUUUUCCCAUUUAUUAUGAUGUUGUCUGUGAGGCUUAUACACAUCCUUUAUCAUAUUGAAGUAUGUUCCUUUUGUACCUAACUUCAGUUUUUAUCAUGAAGGAUACUGAAUAAUUUUAUUGAAUAACUUUCUGUAUCUAUUGAGAUAAUACCAUGACUUUUGACUUUCAUUUUGUUGAUGUGGUAUAUUACAUUUAUUGAUUUGUGCUUGUUUAAUCAUUCUCACCUCUCUGAUAAGUCCAACUCGAUAAUGUGAAUGUUCUUUUUGACAUAGAGUUGGAAGGAAUGUGCUAAUAGUUUGAUGAGAAAUUUUGCAUCUAUAUUCUUUACAGAAAUGUGUGUAUAAUUUUUUGUUGUGUUGUCAGGUCUUUUUAAAUGUGCCUGUUACACAUCCUUUUGCUUUGUAUUUUGAGGAACUUUGCAUUUGCAUCUGUGGUCUUCAUUCUUUUGAAAUUUUAAUUCACUCAAUUCUAAAAUACUUGUCAAAUCUGCCAUCCACAUUGAUGGUAUCUUGAGUAGUGGCAUCUCUGUGCAGAGAUCGUGGGCUCUGAUCAAAGAGAUGGCUUGUUAAUUCCAGCUCUCAUUACUAGUGGUGACUGUAGUCUUCUGCAGUUGCAGUUCUGUUCAAAAAGUCUAUGUGGGUGUGUGUGUGGUGGCACACGCCUCUAAGUCCAGCAAUCUUGGAGGCAGUGGCAGGAGGAGCACAACUUUAAGCCCAGCCUGGCCAAUUUAAUGACUUAAUGAGACCCUAUCUCAAAAAAUAAAAGGUUUGGGGAUAUAGCUCCGUGUGAAGGCCCUAGGUUCAAUCCCCAUUAUCACCAAAAAACCCCCAAAACAAAACAAAAAACUUUACCUAUUCCUGUAUCUUCAAUACUGACAUUCCUUGUUCAACAACUGAAUUACAUUCCUGUGAUAGGUCGCUAAAUGAGUUGGUUGCUAAAUGAGGAAUUACAUAUAGUACCGUAUUUACAAUAUUCAGAACAAAAAUGAUCAAGGGGAACUCUAACUUAAUGCCUUAGUUGCGUAACUCUUACGUGCACUGCAGCACAAGCAGAAAUUACAGCACUGUACUGUAGAAGAAGCCACCAUAAGGCCUCACUGUUGCUCACAUUCCUGCGUCCUAAGCCUGAGCGGAGGAUCCUGAGUUCAAACAGUGCUCUUGGGUGGUAAGUCCAGUCAUUAACCAGUGCAGCAAGCAUGUCUCCCAUGUAGGAAGUAUGGCAGGCAGAAUCCUCAACAUCUUCCUCCAGGAUUCCCUCCCUGUGCUUACUCAAUCAAGCACUCAUCUGUGUUCAGCUGGGAAGGGACUUUACAGAUGUGAUGUCGACCUGAAGACAGAGGUUAUCCUAGGCUACUGGGCUCAGUCUAAUUGCAUGAGUCUGUAAAAGCAGAGGAUGUUCCCUGGCUGGUGCAGAAGAGGAAGAGAGAAGAGGAAGUCAGAGAUUCCAAGUAUGAGAAAGAUGUGACCUGCCCUUGCAGGCCAGGGGUAGGAGCCCCAUGUUCAAGGACUGGAGAGAGGCUGCCAGGAGCUGACCAUGGCCCUGGAUGCAGCCAGCAAAGACAUGGGCAUCUUCCUCAGGUCAUGGAAAGGAAUCCUGCCACCAAUCUGAGCAGAAGUUCAGAGAUUGCAGAGAAGAAGCCAGGCUGGUUGACACUGAUUCCAGUCUCAAAUGAGCUGGAGCAGAGGAACUCAUGGAGUCUGCCAUACUUUUGACUUACAGAGAACUGAGAGCAUAACUUUGUGUUGUCCUAAGAUGGUAAAGUUGUGGAAUUUCUGUUAAUGGUGGCAAAUAUAGAACAGCUGCGAUUCCAGGAAAAUGAUAAUGAACACACCCACUCUAAGCAGAGCAGAAUCUGCGCGCACGUGCGCGCGCGCGUGUGUGUGUGUGUGUGUGUGUGUGUGUGUGUGUAAGUACCCACUAUAAAUGCCAGCUGAGAUCCCUACCCCAAAUUCCCAGAACUGUCACCCUCCCUACACAUCAGCAGAUCUGGGAAAUGGGAUUCCCUUUGUAGUCACUACUUCAAUAUCAUUUCAUCUUUUGAGUGCAUCCAAGGACAAUGAGAAGAUAUUUGUUCAACAGAUAAUAUGAUGCCAUCUGCACAUGUAAUUUAAAAUGUUCUAGUAGUCAGUGAAAUGUCCAAAGAGCCAGGUGAAAUGAAUAUCCUCUUACUAUCAUUUCAACAAGUAGCUGAUGUAAGGACUGCUGAUGAGAGUUUAUAUUCUUUUUUCCAUGCUGAGUCUUGGCAGUCCAGCGGUUGAGUUUACAUGCCUUUGCAGUCAUUUUAGGCUGAAGAUGGGCCGUGCCAGGCACUCAGCAGACCAUGGGCCACCUUGUUGGACAGGGCUGGUUGAGAACGUUGCAGGGCUGGCAGCUGUGUUUGUGAGUGAGUGGGGUGGUUUUCCUUAACUCUGCUGUAGAUUUGCAGGCAGGUAUUUGAACUGGAAAAUAAUUUUAUACCUUUUAGGUGCAAAUUGAGAAUCUGGCUUCUGAAAUCUGAGCUUCAGACAAACAAAUUCGGUUUUAUUGUUUAACAGCCUCACAUCUUCUUGCCCCAGUAUUGCUAAGGAUUUCAAAGCUGAUCUUAAAGAUCGCAGCCUUCAGCAUCAGGCAUUUUGAUGUCAUUCUGGUUCAUUCUGUCAUCUAAAAUUAUCACAUGGUAUGAAUUGAUACUAAAGAAAUGACUUUGAGAGCAAGUUUUAAAAAUACUGUAUCUAUAAUUUACAAGUACUUUGUAUAUAUUGAAGGAGCAAUAAAAAUAGCUAAAAAUAAAAGUGGUUAAAGUAAUGCUAUUAUCGAUACAGAUUUUCAUUGAAAAAUGUUAAAAACGAACUAUGCAUUGAAAAUUUCAAUAUCAACAAUUUUAGGGACAUGACUUCAUGUCCUAUUUAAUAUUUGGGGAAGAUGACUAUAGCAAAUGAUCAUGUACUGUUUCACAUGAAGUUCCUCCUUUAGAUUAAAAAUUAUUCUAUCAGCAUUGAUUAAAUGUCCAAAUAUUCCUAUGUAAUAUAUAAGUAUGUGGAUCUCAUUUAAACUAGUAGCAAAACAAAACUCACCUGUGUAUGUAUGCAUGCAUGUUGUGUUAGUUGCUUUUCUCUCUUUGCUGAGACAAAAUACCCAACAGCUAAAGUUAAAGGAGAAAAGGCUUAUUUGGCUUACACUUUGUAGAGGUUUCAGUCCAUAAUGUGCUGGCUCCAAGGCAGGGUGGCAGAGGGGCAACAGUCCAUGGCUGCAGAAGACAGCAAAAGCAACAAGGGGCUCUAGCAGUGUCUUUCUGCCCCUUUUUUCCCAUCCAGACUCCUGGGAUUAGGGCAGUGCCAAGCCAAUCACUCACAUGUGGUGGUUUAGUCAUCACAUGCCCUUAACCCCAGCACCACACAUUCCAGAUUCAGUCUUCUCUAAAAAGACUCCAUGAGGCCUUGGGGAACAUCUAGGCACAAGCCAUAUCACAUGUGUGCGUUUAAACAUAUCUGUUAAAGUGUAGGUGGAAAUGUGAGUAAAAGAGAAAUAGGACAUGAGUCAGAAAUGGGAUAUAACCUCCAAAUCAGGAGAGGAAGAGAUUUUUAAGUCAAUGCACUGAAAGGAAAAAAAGAUUUUUAUAAAUUGAAGGAAAAUGAAUAAAAGCUUAAUAAAGAAAAUUUAAAAUAAGGGCAAGAAAAAGAUCAAACAUUCCAAGGUUCACAAUAAAUACAGAUUUAUUCAAUUAAGUCUUACAAGUUAUGUAAAAAGGCAAAGUUCAAUCAUAUUAGCUUUGUAAAUAACAUACAUGCCAUUAUAAAUAAAUAUUUAUAAAUAAAUGAAAUAUAUUCCUUUAUAAAUAAAGGAAUAAGAAAAUAGGAAAGUGGUAACAAAACAGGAAAAAAAGUGAUUCAAAAUAAAGACCAUCAAGUUAAAUACAGAAUACUUCAUGCUGGUUAAGGAUUACGACCUUUUAUGCCAGUCACAAAUCAUUACACAUUAAGCUAAAAGCAUGGAAAUGCACAGCUAAAUUAACAGUUAAACAUUACUAACAAAUAACAACAUCAAAAAUAUCUCAUGCUGGUACAGGCUGGGAAAGUGGAGCGCUGGCCUGCUUGUCACGGGGAGGGUGUGGAGAAGUCCAGGCUUUUGGAAGGCAGCUUGGAAAUAUCUGCCAAAACGACCUCCAUUUCUACGGUCUACAUCACAUAAAUGAGUUCACUGAAACACUUUAAUAUUAUUAUGUUUAAUAACGGCAAAGACAACUUAAAUGUCCCUCAGUGGAGAACAGUCAAAUCCAAAUCCAUCCCGGAGGGGGCGGUGGUUUGAAAAAUCAAGUGAGUAGCUGUGUGCACUACUAGGGAAACAGCUCCGGUCUCUUUUCUCUGGUGAAAAUAACCGAAUUGCACAGUAAUUCACAUGUGUAACCAAAUUUGUGAUUUUCCUUACAUAUAUGUUUUAUAAAUGUGAAAAAUCUCAAAAAGGAUAUACAAGGAUACUUAAAGAGUGUUGACUUCUCUAGGGGCCGAAGUUGGGAAUGGGGGCAAUUUCUAUAUUUGAAUUUAUGUAUACAGUAUGGCUGUUUUUAUUGUUUACAGCAAUAAUAUACUCUUGUAAUUAAAAAAACAAAAUAACAUUUUAAAAGCAGUUAACAAAGCUUACUUGAAUAAUUAAACUAUUUUGUUAAUUGGAGCUGUUACAUUGUUAGCAAAUAAUGGAGAUGCAAGAGGUAAGAAUUGAAAUCACAUAUUAUAAAUUCUUCUUAGGGAACAUGAUGCACAGCAUAUAGAAGAUGAGCCUGAAAUGACCAAACAAG